UUUCUCUCUCUUUCGUCGACUAUAUUAAUGAACUGUUGAAGGAUGACGAUCUAAGCGAAGACAACCAAAAUUAAAAAGCCAACAAAACGUUUGUUUUUGUCACUAAGCUAUCUCUUCCCUUUCUUUCCAGACAACUCAAAAGAACCAGCGGACAACACACGGAAGUGCCAGGGCACGCCCCAGCCUACCACUACCACUGACCUAUAUAUUAUUAUUGUAACCACCGGAGAUCACGUGACGGGAAGCUGCAGGCUGAUGACGUGGACGUCGACGUCCACAUGUGUCCUGGAGGUCGGUCAGCUGGAGAGGGGUCAUGGUCACCUAAUUGACCUUGGCACAUCAGGAGAGUGUAACUGAAGAAUGGGUUAGUGCGUGACGUUUGUUGGAGCAUUUUUAUGAGGCACGACACAGCUGUCAAGAUAGAUCUAUACACGGACUAAAAGUUCUCGUCAAAAAAGGAACAGAAAUCGGAGAGAACAAAACAUACUUUGAAAAAAA